rnacentral:rRNA from 1 species
GACGAACGCUGGCGGCGUGCUUAACACAUGCAAGUCGAACGGAAAGGCCCUGCUUUUGUGGGGUGCUCGAGUGGCGAACGGGUGAGUAACACGUGAGUAACCUGCCCUUGACUUUGGGAUAACUUCAGGAAACUGGGGCUAAUACCGGAUAGGAGCUCCUGCUGCAUGGUGGGGGUUGGAAAGUUUCGGCGGUUGGGGAUGGACUCGCGGCUUAUCAGCUUGUUGGUGGGGUAGUGGCUUACCAAGGCUUUGACGGGUAGCCGGCAUGAGAGGGUGACCGGCGACAUUGGGACUGAGAGACGGCGCAGACUCCUACGGGAGGCAGCAGUGGGGAAUAUUGCACAAUGGGCGGAAGCCUGAUGCAGCAACGCCGCGUGCGGGAUGACGGCCUUCGGGUUGUAAACCGCUUUCGCCUGUGACGAAGCGUGAGUGACGGUAAUGGGUAAAGAAGCACCGGCUAACUACGUG